rnacentral:lncRNA from 1 species
AUGCUUCCAGAAGGCCUGGAGCCGACCCCCGACCAUAGCUGGGAGGAAAGCAGCGCCUGUUACCCUUGGGCUCCACUUAAGCCUCCAACCUGGACCCCAGACCCCGGAAUUAUCAUUCCGGCACAUACCCACGGCCUCCACUGCUUCAGUCAUGGGGAUCUCUGGAGUUCGAAGCCCCCGGGCCGGGGCCCCCUCUGGGGGUGCCCGGGCCGCCCGGCAGGAAAGAGGACCUGCCUGCUCCAUCUCCCCUCCCCUCCAGCUUGGCGUUGCCAGGACGUGAGGGGCUUCAGCUCAGUCCCCUCCUCUUCUGCGAUAGGAGUGGGGCCAGGCAGACGAGCCUCCGGCCCUCAUCCCCAGACACUCCCCUCUUUGCUUUGUCUGGACCUAUGUAUCUCUUCAGAUUUUCUAAGGACCACCCUCCUUCCCCAAACUGCGCCCCCCUCCUCUCGACACACACACACACACACACACACACACACACACACAAAUUCACAAAAAAAAGCUAUAAAAAAAAUCAACCUUUCAGAGAAUUACUAUUUACUUUAUUAACUUACGGAUUUAUUAUAUAAAUAUAUAUUCACCUAGCAACAUAUCUUCGCCGCCUCUUGCUCUCAUAAUGAAGACAUAGCUGAUUGGCUCCCCUCCCCCAGCCCCUCACCGAUUCUCUCUGAUGUCUGCCGUAGGGCAUGGGUCUCUGGGGACCCUCCUGAGGUGGAGGGUGGGCUGCUGGCCUAGUUGCCUGUUAGUGGAUGGUUUUGCUCUCCCUUCCCUAACCGCCCCGCCCCCCCCCACCCCUGCCUUAUUUUUUUUGAGUUUAUUCUUGAUUAUUUUUUUCCCGGUUUCUGGAUAAACCUCCCUUCUGGGGACAGGAUAAUAAAACAUGUAAUAUUUUUAAGGAUUCCUACAGCGUCCUCUGUUUUUCUAUCCCUGUUCUCCACUUCUUUGGAGAGUGAUGAUGGAGCACCCCUUCCCAGAGCAAAGUGGGGGCUUGGGCGCAACCCAGUCCUUGUUCCCGUGAGUGUGUGAGCAUAGGGGUGCCUCUGGGGACCCACUCUGGGCCAGCCACUGUUCUCAGCGUGUGAUGUGGGCAGACUCGUGCAGCCCACACAGGGCAGGACAAAACAGAGAGGUGCAGGGACUUGCCCAGUGUCACCCAGCCGGUGAGGGGUGGGGCCUGAAAUUAGCUCCAGGCAGGCUGGCUCCCAAGGCCGUGCUCAGACCACCGUCCACUGUCAGAGCAGCUGCUCCCUCCCCGCGGUCGGGGCUGGGAUGGGGAAGAGGCAGGGAUCCCGGGCUGAGAUCUAGGAGAAGGUGGCCACCUGCAUCCACUGGGCGAGAGGAGACAGCAGGGGUGAGGCUGGGGGGCUCCCGGCACUCCCCCUACCUCCACCUGUGCCCUGCAUUCCAGGCUCACCUGUCUGUGGGUCAGGCAGACGACCCCCUCACCCCCAUCCAGGUACUGGCUGCAGUGGCCCUUGCAGAGAGGGGUGAGGUGAGGGCCCACCUGCCUGGUCCCGCAGCCGCGGAGACCGCCUCCCCCUGCCCCACCGGUGCCGGGGAGGGCACUCACGGAAGAUGCAGAUGAGCUGGGCCAUGCAGGACACGAAGCGCUCAAAGUCCACACGCAGGCGGCUGUCACGGUAGCGGCUCG